rnacentral:lncRNA from 1 species
AGACUCCUUAUGAGGAAUGUGAGAAGCCCAAGCCAACUCCUGCUCCUUACCACUACAUAUCUCCUCCGCCACCAACUUAUGUCUAUAAAUCACCACCACCUCCACCACCAACUUACCUAUACAAGUCACCGCCACCACCAGUGAAACCUCCACCAAAGCCGUAUUAUUACGUCUCCCCACCACCACCAACUUAUGUCUAUAAAUCACCACCACCUCCACCACCAACUUACCUAUACAAGUCACCGCCACCACCGGUGAAACCUCCGCCAAAGCCGUAUCAUUACGUCUCCCCACCACCACCUACUGUAUCUCCACCGCAUUAUUACUACACAUCACCACCACCACCGGUGAAACCUCCGCCAAAGCCGUAUCAUUACAUCUCCCCACCACCACCGGAGAAAUCUCCACCACCACCCUAUCCUUACAUCUCCCCGCCACCGCCGGAGAAAUCUCCACCACCACCCUAUCCUUACAUCUCCCCACCACCGCCGGAGAAAU